UACGUAGGUGGCAAGCGUUGUCCGGAUUUACUGGGCGUAAAGAGCGCGCAGGCGGUCGUACAAGUCGCGUGUGAAAGCCCCCGGCUCAACUGGGGAGGGUCACGCGAUACUGUUCGACUCGAAGGCAGGAGAGGGAAGCGGAAUUCCCGGUGUAGAGGUGAAAUUCGUAGAUAUUAGGAAGAACACCGGUGGCGAAGGCGGCCCACUGGCUCGAUACUGACGCUGAGGUGCGAAAGCGUGGGGAGCAAACAGG
rnacentral:rRNA from 1 species